rnacentral:rRNA from 1 species
UACGUAGGGUGCGAGCGUUAAUCGGAAUUACUGGGCGUAAAGCGUGCGCAGGCGGUUGUGCAAGACAGAGGUGAAAUCCCCGGGCUUAACCUGGGAAUGGCCUUUGUGACUGCACGGCUAGAGUGUGUCAGAGGGGGGUAGAAUUCCACGUGUAGCAGUGAAAUGCGUAGAGAUGUGGAGGAAUACCGAUGGCGAAGGCAGCCCCCCUGGGAUAACACUGACGCUCAUGCACAGAAA